rnacentral:rRNA from 1 species
UACGUAGGGUGCGAGCGUUGUCCGGAAUUAUUGGGCGUAAAGAGCUCGUAGGCGGUUCAUUGCGUCGACUGUGAAAUCCCAAGGCUCAACCUUGGGUCUGCAGUCGAUACGGGUGGACUAGAGUUCGGUAGGGGAGACUGGAAUUUCUGGUGUAGCGGUGGAAUGCGCAGAUAUCAGAAGGAACACCGGUGGCGAAGGCGAGUCUCUGGGCCGAUACUGACGCUGAGGAGCGAAAGCGUGGGGAGCAAACAGG